GCAUUAAUGGGGUAGUGGUAACCUGGGUCGUUGCCAUUCCAAGUUAGCACAACAGAUUCCUGGUUCGACCCGCCGGGGGUUCGAUUCCCUCUUAAUGCA